CUAACAUAUGCGGAUUUUAUUUGUCCAUAUAUGUGGCUACAUGGUGGCUUAGAUAUUUAAGCACCGAUGUUUUAUUGCAUAGGUGGGAGCUAUGCUUUGAGGCUAUUUUUAGUGUUUUUUGCACAAACAUAAUCUUAUAUACUGUAAUGCCAUUAGGCGCAGAAAUUUGUGUAAUAACGAUUACUUUAUCAGUGUAAUGCCCAUUAGGCACACAUAUCUUUACGAAAAUUUGUGUAAUGCUUGUUAAGCAAAGAAAUCUUUGUAAUCAUGAUUACUUACUUUAUUAGUUAUAUUUAUUCAUCACUUUAUAUGAAUUUUUAUUUUUGCUACCAAUAGAUAAAAAUAGGCAAUGCAUUCCAUUACUCAUUUUAUUCCACUAUAUCUUACCAAACAUGACCUUCUGGUUUAACAAAUAUAUAUGGGAUUGUUAUAGGUCCAUUCUCAUUGUUUUGGAGCCUAUCCCACUAGAAUGGUGUUGCCUCUUGAAAUGAAAGAAGAACCUGUUUAUGUAAAUG
rnacentral:misc_RNA from 1 species